rnacentral:rRNA from 1 species
UACGUAGGGGGCAAGCGUUGUCCGGAAUCAUUGGGCGUAAAGAGCGUGUAGGCGGCUUGGUAAGUCCGCUGUGAAAGUCCAGGGCUCAACCCUGGAAUGCCGGUGGAAACUGUCAGGCUCGAGUCCGGAAGAGGCGAGUGGAAUUCCUGGUGUAGCGGUGAAAUGCGCAGAUAUCAGGAGGAACACCAAUGGCGAAGGCAGCUCGCUGGGACGUGACUGACGCUGAGACGCGAAAGCGUGGGGAGCAAACAGG